GGCCUACCAAGACAAUGAUGCAUAGCCGAGUUGAGAGACUGAUCGGCCACAUUGGGACUGAGACACGGCCCAAACUCCUACGGGAGGCUGCAGUAGGGAAUCUUCCACAAUGGGCGAAAGCCUGAUGGAGCAACGCCGCGUGUGUGAUGAAGGCUUUCGGGUCGUAAAGCACUGUUGUAUGGGAAGAACAGCUAGAAUAGGAAAUGAUUUUAGUUUGACGGUACCAUACCAGAAAGGGACGGCUAAAUACGUGCCAGCAGCCGCGGUAAUACGUAUGUCCCGAGCGUUAUCCGGAUUUAUUGGGCGUAAAGCGAGCGCAGACGGUUUAUUAAGUCUGAUGUGAAAGCCCGGAGCUCAACUCCGGAAUGGCAUUGGAAACUGGUUAACUUGAGUGCAGUAGAGGUAAGUGGAACUCCAUGUGUAGCGGUGGAAUGCGUAGAUAUAUGGAAGAACACCAGUGGCGAAGGCGGCUUACUGGACUGCAACUGACGUUGAGGCUCGAAAGUGUGGGUAGCAAACAGGAUUAGAUACCCUGGUAGUCCACACCGUAAACGAUGAACACUAGGUGUUAGGAGGUUUCCGCCUCUUAGUGCCGAAGCUAACGCAUUAAGUGUUCCGCCUGGGGAGUACGACCGCAAGGUUGAAACUCAAAGGAAUUGACGGGGACCCGCACAAGCGGUGGAGCAUGUGGUUUAAUUCGAAGCAACGCGAAGAACCUUACCAGGUCUUGACAUCCUUUGAAGCUUUUAGAGAUAGAAGUGUUCUCUUCGGAGACAAAGUGACAGGUGGUGCAUGGUCGUCGUCAGCUCGUGUCGUGAGAUGUUGGGUUAAGUCCCGCAACGAGCGCAACCCUUAUUGUUAGUUGCCAGCAUUCAGAUGGGCACUCUAGCGAGACUGCCGGUGACAAACCGGAGGAAGGCGGGGACGACGUCAGAUCAUCAUGCCCCUUAUGACCUGGGCUACACACGUGCUACAAUGGCGUAUACAACGAGUUGCCAACCCGCGAGGGUGAGCUAAUCUCUUAAAGUACGUCUCAGUUCGGAUUGUAGUCUGCAACUCGACUACAUGAAGUCGGAAUCGCUAGUAAUCGCGGAUCAGCACGCCGCGGUGAAUACGUUCCCGGGUCUUGUACACACCGCCCGUCACACCAUGGGAGUUUGUAAUGCCCAAAGCCGGUGGCCUAACCUUUAGGAAGGAGCCGUCUAAGGCAGAC
rnacentral:rRNA from 1 species